rnacentral:rRNA from 2 species
UGCAACCUGAGCUCAGUCGUGAUUACCCGCUGAACUUAAGCAUAUCACUUAGCGGAGGAAAAGAAACUAAAUGU